UCAACUUAAAGCAAAAAGUUUGCUAGUCAGCCUACUCACGAAGGAACACGAAGGAACAAGAGACUCAAAGAAAGAACUUUGUAUUGAUCUCUCGAAGUACUUACAACACUCUCACCUUCUUGAGUGUGAGAAAUGAAUGGGGGAGGAGGGGUAUUUAUAGUUUUCCACCUCCUCAAUGGACGGCUAAGAUCUACUUGAUCUAACGGUUACAAUGGCGUAUCUAGAAUACUCUACAAAA